AAGGCGGGCGGAAGUCCGGCAGGCGGAAGUGGAAGUUGACGUUGCUGGUGGCAUCGCAGAUAGAAGGAUGCUUCCACUAUCCUUGCUGAAAACAGCACAGAACCACCCAAUGCUGGUGGAACUCAAAAAUGGUGAAACUUACAAUGGUCACUUGGUUAGCUGUGAUAACUGGAUGAACAUCAAUCUUCGAGAAGUUAUCUGUACAU